GCUCUGAUCGUCUAGCACGGUCAAGGACACGGCCCUCUCAAGGCUGAAACUCGGGUUCAAAUCCCGAUCAGAGCA
rnacentral:tRNA from 1 species